rnacentral:rRNA from 1 species
UGGGGAAUAUUGCACAAUGGGGGAAACCCUGAUGCAGCGACGCCGCGUGGAGGAAGAAGGUCUUCGGAUUGUAAACUCCUGUUGUUGAGGAAGAUAAUGACGGUACUCAACAAGGAAGUGACGGCUAACUACGUGCCAGCAGCCGCGGUAAAACGUAGGUCACAAGCGUUGUCCGGAAUUACUGGGUGUAAAGGGAGCGCAGGCGGGAAGACAAGUUGGAAGUGAAAUCUAUGGGCUCAACCCAUAAACUGCUUUCAAAACUGUUUUUCUUGAGUAGUGCAGAGGUAGGCGGAAUUCCCGGUGUAGCGGUGGAAUGCGUAGAUAUCGGGAGGAACACCAGUGGCGAAGGCGGCCUACUGGGCACCAACUGACGCUGAGGCUCGAAAGUGUGGGUAGCAAACAGGAUUAGAUACCCUGGUAGUCCACACCGUAAACGAUGAUUACUAGGUGUUGGAGGAUUGAACCCUUCAGUGCCGCAGUUAACACAAUAAGUAAUCCACCUGGGGAGUACGACCGCAAGGUUGAAACUCAAAGGAAUUGACGGGGGCCCGCACAAGCAGUGGAGUAUGUGGUUUAAUUCGACGCAACGCGAAGAACCUUACCAAGUCUUGACAUCCCUUGACGAACAUAGAAAUAUGUUUUCUCUUCGGAGCAAGGAGACAGGUGGUGCAUGGUUGUCGUCAGCUCGUGUCGUGAGAUGUUGGGUUAAGUCCCGCAACGAGCGCAACCCUUAUGGUCAGUUACUACGCAAGAGGACUCUGGCCAGACUGCCGUUGACAAAACGGAGGAAGGUGGGGAUGACGUCAAAUCAUCAUGCCCUUUAUGACUUGGGCUACACACGUACUACAAUGGCGUUAAACAAAGAGAAGCAAGACCGCGAGGUGGAGCAAAACUCAGAAACAACGUCCCAGUUCGGACUGCAGGCUGCAACUCGCCUGCACGAAGUCGGAAUUGCUAGUAAUCGUGGAUCAGCAUGCCACGGUGAAUACGUUCCC